UACGUAGGGUGCGAGCGUUGUCCGGAAUUAUUGGGCGUAAAGAGCUCGUAGGCGGUGUGUCACGUCGGCCGUGAAAACCUGCAGCUUAACUGUGGGCGUGCGGUCGAUACGGGCAUCACUGGAGUUCGGCAGGGGAGACUGGAAUUCCUGGUGUAGCGGUGAAAUGCGCAGAUAUCAGGAGGAACACCGGUGGCGAAGGCGGCUCUCUGGACCGAUACUGACGCUGAGGCGCGAAAGCGUGGGGGAGCAAACAGG
rnacentral:rRNA from 1 species